rnacentral:rRNA from 1 species
GAUGAACGCUGGCGGCGUGCUUAAUACAUGCAAGUCGAACGGAAAGGCCCUGCGUUUGUUGGGUGCUCGAGUGGCGAACGGGUGAGUAACACGUGAGUAACCUGCCCUUGACAGUGUGAUAUCUCUAGGGAACUGGGUCGCAUACCGGAGAGAAUCUUCUGCUGCGUGGGGGUGGUUGGAGAGUGCGGGCGGUGGUGUAUGUACUCGCUGGUUAUCAGCUGGUUGGUGGGGUAGGGGCUUUCCAAGGCUUCGACGGGUAGCCGGCCUGAGAGGGUGACCGGCGACAAUGGGACUGAGAUAGGGCGCAGACUCGUACGGGAGGCAGCAGUGGGGAGUAUUGCGGAAUGGGCGGAAGCCUGAUGCAGCAACCCCGCGUGCGGGAUAACGGCCUUCGGGUUGUAAACAGAUUUCGAAUGUGCCGAAGCGUGAGUGGCGGUAAUGAGUAAAGAAGCACCGGCUAACUACGUG